rnacentral:tRNA from 1 species
AUCUAAAUAGUUUAUUUAAAAUAUUAACUUGUGGCGUUAAUGAAACAUUAUCAGUUUUAGAUA